UACAGAGGGUGCGAGCGUUGUCCGGAAUCACUGGGCGUAAAGGGCGCGUAGGUGGCCCGACAAGUCAGUGGUGAAAGUUCGACGCUUAACGUCGAAUCGGCCACUGAUACUGUUGGGCUGGAGCACUGUAGAGGCUCAUGGAAUUCCGGGUGUAGCGGUGGAAUGCGUAGAGAUCCGGAAGAACACCGGUGGCGAAGGCGGCCUGCUGGGCAGUUGCUGACACUGAGGCGCGACAGCGUGGGGAGCAAACAGG
rnacentral:rRNA from 1 species